GACGAACGCUGGCGGCGCGCUUAACACAUGCAAGUCGAACGCGGGGGCUUCGGCUCUCGAGUGGCGAACGGGUGCGUAACACGUGAGCAACCUGCCCUCGUGCGGGGGAUAACCAGGGGA
rnacentral:rRNA from 1 species